GUAGCAUAAUCAUUAGAGGUUUAAUUGAAAUCUGGAAUGAAUGGUUGGACAAAGGGAAAACUGUCUUUAUAAUAGAAUUUGAAUUUUAUAUUUAAGUUAAAAAGCUUAAAUGUAUCAGGGGGACGAUAAGACCCUAUAAAGCUUUAUAAAUAAUUUAAAUUUGAUUAAUUUAAAUAUAAAAAUUAUAUUUAAUUAUUUUAUUUUGUUGGGGUGAUGUAAACAUAAUUAUAAUUAACUGUUUAAAUAAAAUACUAUAAUAAAAGAAAUUAAUAUAUAAUGAUCCUUUAUAAAGAUUAAAAGACUAAGUUACUUUAGGGGUAACAGCGUUAUUUCUUUUAAGAGUUCAUAUCGAAAAAGAAGAUUGCGACCUCGAUGUUGAAUUAAAAUAUCUAUAUGAUGCAGCCGUUAUAAAAGAAGGUCUGUUCGACCUUUAAAAUUUU
rnacentral:rRNA from 1 species